ACAUGAAGCUGGAAUCGCUAGUAAUCGCGGAUCAGAAUGCCGCGGUGAAUACGUUCCCGGGUCUUGUACACACCGCCCGUCACACCAUGGGAGUCGGGAAUGCCCGAAGUCAGUGACCCAACCGGAAGGAGGGAGCUGCCGAAGGCAGGCUCGAUAACUGGGGUGAAGUCGUAACAAGGUAAC
rnacentral:rRNA from 1 species